rnacentral:rRNA from 1 species
GUGCACCAGUCGCGAAACCUUCACAAUGCACGAAAGUGUGAUGAGGGUACUCCGAGUGCGCAUACAUUGUAUGUGCUUUUCUGCAGCGUAAAUAGUUGCAGGAAUAAGGGCUGGGCAAGACCGGUGCCAGCCGCCGCGGUAACACCGGCAGCCCUAGUGGUGGCCGCUUUUAUUGGGCCUAAAGCGUCCGUAGCCGGACAGGCGAGUCUUUGGGUAAAUCCUACGUCUUAAGCGUGGGAAUUCUAAAGAUACUACCUGUCUUGAGGCCGGGAGAGGCUGGAGGUACUCCUGGGGUAGGGGUAAAAUCCUAUAAUCCUGGGGGGACCACCGAUGGCGAAGGCAUCCAGCUGGAACGGGCCUGACGGUGAGGGACGAAACCCAGGGGAGCGAGCCGGAUUAGAUACCCCCGUAGUCC